UGAACGCUAGCUACAGGCUUAACACAUGCAAGUCGAGGGGCAGCAUGGUCUUAGCUUGCUAAGGCCGAUGGCGACCGGCGCACGGGUGAGUAACACGUAUCCAACCUGCCGUCUACUCUUGGACAGCCUUCUGAAAGGAAGAUUAAUACAAGAUGGCAUCAUGAGUCCGCAUGUUCACAUGAUUAAAGGUAUUCCGGUAGACGAUGGGGAUGCGUUCCAUUAGAUAGUAGGCGGGGUAACGGCCCACCUAGUCUUCGAUGGAUAGGGGUUCUGAGAGGAAGGUCCCCCACAUUGGAACUGAGACACGGUCCAAACUCCUACGGGAGGCAGCAGUGAGGAAUAUUGGUCAAUGGGCGAGAGCCUGAACCAGCCAAGUAGCGUGAAGGAUGACUGCCCUAUGGGUUGUAAACUUCUUUUAUAAAGGAAUAAAGUCGGGUAUGGAUACCCGUUUGCAUGUACUUUAUGAAUAAGGAUCGGCUAACUCCGUGCCAGCAGCCGCGGUAAUACGGAGGAUCCGAGCGUUAUCCGGAUUUAUUGGGUUUAAAGGGAGCGUAGAUGGAUGUUUAAGUCAGUUGUGAAAGUUUGCGGCUCAACCGUAAAAUUGCAGUUGAUACUGGAUAUCUUGAGUGCAGUUGAGGCAGGCGGAAUUCGUGGUGUAGCGGUGAAAUGCUUAGAUAUCACGAAGAACUCCGAUUGCGAAGGCAGCCUGCUAAGCUGCAACUGACAUUGAGGCUCGAAAGUGUGGGUAUCAAACAGGAUUAGAUACCCUGGUAGUCCACACGGUAAACGAUGAAUACUCGCUGUUUGCGAUAUACGGCAAGCGGCCAAGCGAAAGCGUUAAGUAUUCCACCUGGGGAGUACGCCGGCAACGGUGAAACUCAAAGGAAUUGACGGGGGCCCGCACAAGCGGAGGAACAUGUGGUUUAAUUCGAUGAUACGCGAGGAACCUUACCCGGGCUUAAAUUGCAGAUGAAUUACGGUGAAAGCCGUAAGCCGCAAGGCAUCUGUGAAGGUGCUGCAUGGUUGUCGUCAGCUCGUGCCGUGAGGUGUCGGCUUAAGUGCCAUAACGAGCGCAACCCUUGUUGUCAGUUACUAACAGGUUCCGCUGAGGACUCUGACAAGACUGCCAUCGUAAGAUGUGAGGAAGGUGGGGAUGACGUCAAAUCAGCACGGCCCUUACGUCCGGGGCUACACACGUGUUACAAUGGGGGGUACAGAGGGCCGCUACCACGCGAGUGGAUGCCAAUCCCCAAAACCUCUCUCAGUUCGGACUGGAGUCUGCAACCCGACUCCACGAAGCUGGAUUCGCUAGUAAUCGCGCAUCAGCCACGGCGCGGUGAAUACGUUCCCGGGCCUUGUACACACCGCCCGUCAAGCCAUGGGAGCCGGGGGUACCUGAAGUGCGUAACCGCGAGGAGCGCCCUAGGGUAAAACUGGUGACUGGGGCUAAGU
rnacentral:rRNA from 1 species